rnacentral:rRNA from 1 species
GAUGAACGCUGGCGGCGUGCCUAAUACAUGCAAGUCGAGCGAACGGACGAGAAGCUUGCUUCUCUGAUGUUAGCGGCGGACGGGUGAGUAACACGUGGAUAACCUACCUAUAAGACUGGGAUAACUUCGGGAAACCGGAGCUAAUACCGGAUAAUAUUUUGAACCGCAUGGUUCAAAAGUGAAAGACGGUCUUGCUGUCACUUAUAGAUGGAUCCGCGCUGCAUUAGCUAGUUGGUAAGGUAACGGCUUACCAAGGCAACGAUGCAUAGCCGACCUGAGAGGGUGAUCGGCUACACUGGAACUGAGACACGGUCCAGGCUCCUACGGGAGGCAGCAGUAGGGAAUCUUCCGCAAUGGGCGAAAGCCUGACGGAGCAACGCCGCGUGAGUGAUGAAGGUCUUCGGAUCGUAAAACUCUGUUAUUAGGGAAGAACAUAUGUGUAAGUAACUGUGCACAUCUUGACGGUACCUAAUCAGAAAGCCACGGCUAACUACGUG